AGCGUAGGCGGUCUUUAAGUUAGAUGUGAAAUACCCGGGCUUAACUUGGGAGGUGCAUCUAAAACUGGGGGACUUGAGUUGCAGGAGAGGAAAGUGGAAUUCCUAGUGUAGCGGUGAAAUGCGUAGAUAUUAGGAGGAACACCAGUGGCGAAGGCGACUUUCUGGACUGUAACUGACGCUGAGGCUCGAAAGCGUGGGGAGCAAACAGGAUUAGAUACCCUGGUACGUCCACGCUGUAAACGAUGAAUACUAGGUGUAGGGGGUAUCAACUCCCCUCGUGCCGCAGCAAACGCAAUAAGUAUUCCGACCUGGGGAGUACGGCCGCAAGGUUGAA
rnacentral:rRNA from 1 species